rfam:Aedes aegypti strain Liverpool supercont1.139 genomic scaffold, whole genome shotgun sequence.
CCUUUGGCUCUUUUCAGGGCCACCAAAUGUAUAUAAGAGAGUUAA